UGGCGGAGCGAUUUGUCUGGUUAAUUCCGAUAACGAACGAGACUCUAGCCUAUUAAAUAGACGAUAUAUUAUUAGUUUAUCGAGCUUCUUAGAGGGACAGGCAGCUUCUAGCUGCACGAGAUUGAGCAAUAACA
rnacentral:rRNA from 1 species